ACCCGUGGAGGCAUCUCCCCAACCCCUAAACUAUAUACGUAACCUCUUUGUGACUUAGUUUCCCUUCCGUGUUAAUGCUGCUUUUCCUCCGAUUCUAAGGGCACCAAGGGCACCAGCACCGUCUUAUUUCAUGUGCGCAUGCGUUGCGUCACAUGACUAAUAACAGCCAAUGAGAGGUAGGAGAUAAGUAUGUCUGAGGCUGCAGAGCUAGAGGGCUUCAUUCCCUAUGCAUGACGCUGGAGAGACAAAUGCCGCACCAGCUGCAGGAGCCUUGGUCACCGUGGAGCCUAGUGGCCCAGUUCUUGCUGGGUCCUGUUGUCUUCUCUUACUUCCCUACCUAUGAUAUUUUCUGGAAUCACUUCCCCUCACCUCUACAUCGUACACUCAAACUGCAGUUGCUAAGGAAGAUUUGUACCCUAAAACCACCAUCCUAACCCACUGGGGAAAUGCCCUGCUGGAAUUAAUUAUCUAGAGAUAAGCAAAGUCCACUUCCAGGUCAAUCAAAUGGGAGCCUCAUGAAUCCAGUUUCUCCUUAUGAGUUAUUUUCUGUUCUGGAUUGUUGCUCUCAGGCCAGAGUUAGGAUGAUGGAAAAGAUACACACACACACACACACACACACACACACACACACACAAACAUACACUCAUACACAGAUACAUACUCACAUACACUCAGACACACACACUUACACUCACACAUGCUCAUAAACACACACACAGACACACACUCACAAACACAUACUCACACAGACACACACACCAAUGCACGCACACACAUACAUAUGCUUACACAUAUACAUCCACACACUAACAAAUGCAUACUCAUAUACACGCUCACACAUAUACACUCACAUAUGUUCAUAAACACACACAGGCACACACACAGACUCAUAUAGACACACACUCACACCAAUGCAUGCACACACACACACACUCACACACUCCCAAAUGCUCCCAGAUACACACACACACUCAUAUGCACUUAUACACAAAGACACAGACACACACCAAUGCACACACAUACAUAUACUCACACACUCACAAACUCACACUCAUAGACACACUCAAACACAGCCACUCACAGAUACACACCAAUACACACACACACACACACACACACACACACACACACACACACACAUACUGAAGUGCAAAGACCAGGAAGCAUGUGGGAGGGAUAAGGCAGCUACUGAGAGGGGUCACAGCAUGACUCACUUCUCUACCGUCUCAUGGCACAGGGACAGUAAGGACAGUUCUCACUCACUAUAUAAGCACCAGAAGCAAACCCAGAAAGGGCGAGUACUGCCAGUUUUUAUGUCUGCCAGGGAACUUGAGUACACACAGACUGUAUAGGAACCUAAAGUUCCAACCCACCCUUGCCACACAGCACACAGAAUGGUCUUCUGGACGAAUCCCUCAAUCCCUCAAUCCUUCAGUGGUUAGUCCUACAAUUCUUGGCUGUUGGCUGAUGAGAGACUCUGGUGAGUGUUGUCAUGUCUCCUCCAUAGCCUGCAGCAUGUGGCUCUGCCGUGCCCACAAGAGGCCUUGUCCUGCGAGCUGAGGCUGAGCCAGGGUGAAGGAGAAGGGUCUUACGUCCCAGCCCCUGAUGGUGCACAGUGGUGCUAGAAGCCUAAGCAUCUCUGGCUUCCUGUCCAGGGCUCUCUUCGUCCAAAGGGGCCAGAGUAGACUCACGCAAGGGCAGGCUAAAAGUGCCAGUGAGCUAAGAAGUUCGGGAGUGACCCUUGACCUGUGGUGACUGCAGAGAAGAGCAUACUCCCUCACACUUCCCACAUGUCACAAGGCCGAGCUGCAGGGCAACUCUACCAUCUCCCCAGAGGCAUUAGGGCGGAGCCCCAACUACCUACAGGUCUGAUUGACUCAUUAACACAGUCUUUCCCCAUCUUUGCUCCCCUACCAGGGCUGUGCUACCCCGAUACACAACCCUAGUUGUUUCUAAAGAACCCAGAUUCCCACUGGUCUUCCAACACUAAAGACAGUUAGUUAUGAGAGAGACUGCAGAGGUAAGAGAGACUGCAGGGCUGGGCUUGUAGCUCAGCUAGUCUCGAAAACUUUGAUGCCCUGAAAUCAUCCCUAGUACUGUAUAGACCAUGUGUGGCAGUGCGGGCCUAUAAGCCCAGAGAGAGAGAGAGAGAGAGAGAGAGAGAGAGAGAGAGAGAGAGAGAGAGACAGACAGACAGACACAGACACAGACACAGACACAGACACAGACACAGACACAGACACAGACACAGACAGACACAGACACAGAGAGGCAGGGGGUGAGGGUGGGUUUGGAGCAAGAGUAUUAGGAAUCUAAAGUCAUCCUUGAUCCUUGGCUACGUAGCAUUUUGAGGUCCCAGUAGAAUAUAUGAGACUCUCCCUGUCUCCAUGAAUGACUAAAUAAGGCAUACAUUCAUAAGUAGCUCUCUGCAACUUAUCUGGUCAAUGCUGAGGUCACUGGCAAUGACUUCUCAAAUCGAACUACCCAGCAGCCCCAGCAGCAUAUCCGAUCCCGUUCAGGUAGACAGCCUUCAACUGAAGUGCCCUGAAAAGGCAAAGAAAUGGUCAAGGUCAUGAGAAGUCAAGCUAUACGGUGGGAGAGAACACUGGCGAGUCCUACACUUAGCAGUCAGUCAAAAAUCCAAAAGGGCAUGUCGUAUAAUGGUCGUCAUCCAGGCAUGGCUGAGUGGAUUCAGAAAACAUGGUCUCCACACACAAUUAAAUAGGAGUCUCGGCAGAGAAGGAGCCUUUGACAGACACUGAAGAAAGUUACAUCAACGGGGGGCCGGGAGGUGUCGUUUAGGGAUAAUGAAAUUGUCUGGAAUUCGAGAAGCUCAGGAUUCCAUAUUCAACCCUGCACAGAGGAAUGCAAAUCGGGAAUAAUUCACUCCAGAGGAAGGGUCGCCAACAGGUAGACUCCUACGAGGCUACAGAGAUCCUCCAGCUCCCACCGCAAAUGGAAAGAAAGCCGUAUGGAAUAAAGAGAAGUUUCCAUCCCAUACAGUCCCUGUCUGAUGCUCUCCCGUAGCUAAGAAAACAGGCUCCGGGUGCCUGGACUGCGUGUGUGAGGCUUGGCAUGCCACUCAGGGUCUGUGUGACCUGCCCUAGUGACUUCACCUUCCGAAGCCUGUCAUGUCGCGCCAGGGUCAUCGUGACAAGACACGGGACAGUUGGGGACUUUGGAUGCCGUGAUGGAAACAAGGCGGCCGGCACAUCUGUUGACUCUCAUGGCUGGCUGUGAGUCUCUUUAUCCCACUCCUGUGGUUGAAUUUGUUGUAGCCACCCCGAGGCUGUCAGAGCUUAAGUGCUCCGUUUCCAAGGCCGAAAUUGAAAGCAAGGCAAAGGAUGUGUCGGAGAAUUGGAAACGACUUCUCCCCAGCAGAAGAUUGUGACUCCGAGCCAUUUGCAUAGGGCUCUCCUCCAAGAGUGAACGUGACUGUUCCUAAUAAUCCGCCCAGCCGUCUCUGCGCUGCCUACAGCUUGGCAAGGGUGUCUCUCAGAUGGACCUCGAGCUCAUCAGCUCACAAUGGCUCCUAGCCCGGCCCAGUCUCCUCAUUCUUAGAUGAACACUUGGAGCAUUUGUGAUUUCUGAUCCUGUGCCUUUGUGCACUUCCUGACAGUCCUUAUAAAGGCUGUUUUCUAAAGCCAGCACCGUGGUACAAAACCCAUGAAUACCAGCACCAGGGACGUAGAACAGGAAGCUAAUGGUAGGCAGCUCAUCUAACCCCAUCAGUGAACUCCAAGGUCAGUGAGACACUGUCUCACAAAAUGAAGCGGUGUGUUCAUCAUUUUGUGACUAUUGCCGUGAUAAAAUACCAUGUCCGAAAGCAACGUAAAGAAGAAAGGCUUGCUUGUGACUAACGGUCCUCGGAGGUGAGAGUGCAGAAUUGCGGGGUUGGCGUGGAAGCAGGCACCUGGCCAGUCACAGGUUGUCUGCAUGCCAGGAAACAAAAGUCCCAAUCUGUGUCACUAACCAGAGACCAAGUGUUCAAAUACGUGAACUUAUGGGGAAUGCUUUUCAGACAAACCAUAACAGGUGAGAAAGCACCCAGAGUUGCACCCUUGGCUACACAUACAUGCACACACACAGGCACACACACACACACCACACACAUACAUACAUAUACAUGCACACACACAGGCACACACACACACACCACACACAUACAUACAUAUACAUGUACACACACCACACAAACACACACCACACACACACAUACAAACACAUACACAUAUGCACAUACAGCACACAUAUAUACAACAUACAAACACACAUGACCACAUCACACAUGCAUACAUACACAUACAGACACACACACCAUACACAUACACACAUGUACACCACACAUACAUACACAUACACACAUGUACACCACACAUACAUACACAUACACACAUGUACACCACACACAUACAGACACACCACAUACACACAUGUACACCACACACACAUACAGACACACCACACAGACCACAAACACACAUAUACACACACACAAAAACACACACACACAAAAACACACACACACAUGCCACAUGCACACUUUCUCCACUCCCAAACUUUAGAAUAAUAUCAAUAACAUUUUCUGGUUUUACAGACCCCUGCUCUUUUCACACACAGCCCCUGAGAACCGUGGUUUGAAGGUAGCAUUCCUAGCUUUUUUUUUUUUUUAAAUCUGGCCAGUUCACCCCUGGAGAAAACAAGACAC